rnacentral:lncRNA from 1 species
AAUAAUCCUCCGAACGGCUGCCUCCUCCAGCGGCCUCCGGAGCCCGGGCCACGGGGGGUGCGGCGGCGGCGGACGAGAGGUUUAAAACCGGCCCGGGUCCCUCCAUGUGCCGCCGCCGCCGCCGCCGCCGCCGCCGUGUUGGAGGCAGUAGAAGGGGAGAGACCAACUCUCCGGCGUUCCCAGCCCUGGAAAUGGUGACAGGCGACUCAGACCCCCUCCCUGGAGCUGCAGCCGCCGGGGCCACCGGGGGCGCCGCCGCCGCCGCUUCUCCCCCCGCUCCAGGAGGGGGAGGUGCCGCCGCCGCCGCGCCUCAGCCGGCUCCCGCCCAAGCCCACGGCUUCCACCUUCCCUUUCAGGAGAAGCCGAGGAAGAGGCUGCACAGUUAGAAAAGACGAAGAAGAAGCGAGAAACGCCGCCGCUGCCGGCGCCGCCCCCGCGGAUGCUCACGGGUUGCUGAGAGGGGCUUCAGGCCGGGCCGGGCCGGGCCGCCGCCGCCGCCGCCGUCUCUGUCUCUCAUCUCCCUCGCCUGAGCCCGGCCUCGCCUCACAGCGGCUCAACAUUCAAACUUCCAUCACGGCUGCAGCUUCUGAGAGGAGAGCAUCUUCUAGGAUCAUGUAGUCGGAGAUUAAAAAGAGUUCUACUUUUUCCUUUCCAACCUGGAAGCCUUUUAUUGCAAUUUCUUAUCUGACUGUACUGUCUGAUAUCUCCAGUGCAAGGUUGAAUAAAAGUAGUGAAAACAGACAUUGUUACUUUGCUACCAAAAUUAUAGGCAAAGCAUUCAGUCUUUUGAAGCUUUCAUGUUUAAGGCCUCAAGGAUGCUGUAGUUACACAAUUCCCAAGACACAGAAUCAUUGGGACAGGAAAGGAAUUCAUUCUACUGUGUCCCCAGAAUAUGAAUCAUGUUGCAAUGUACUGGUAUCGACAGAACCCAGGACUUGGACUGAAGCUAGUCUAUUAUUCACCUGGCACUGGGAGCAUUGAAAAAGGAGAUGUCUCUGAGAGGUAUCAUGUUUCUUGAAAUACUAUAGCAUCUUUUCUCCUGACCCUGAAGUCUGCUAGCACCAACCAGACAUGUGUGUAUCUCUGCGCCAGCAGUUCAUCCACAGCACUGCAUAGCUGCCACAUCCUCUCCACAUAAAAAAAGGUGCAUACCAAAGAGGAAAAGCCUGCCCUCAAAAUUCCUCACCGCAAAUAAGAGAAGUUACCUCACAGGUAUUGACAAAAAGAGCCAAACUCUGUAAAAUAUUUGAAGAGAUUUAUUCUGAGCCAAACAUGAGUGAGCAUGGCCAGAGGCAGAGGCUCAAGGGCCUAAGAACGUGUGUCCAAGGUGGUCAGCCUACAGCUUGGUUUUAUACCUUUUUGGAGACAUCAGACAUCAAUCAAUACAUGUAAGCUGUACAUUGUUUCAAUUUGGAAAGGUGGGACAACUCAAAGAGGGGGCUUCCGGGUCAUAGGUGGAUUCAAAGAUUUUUCAGACUGGCAGUUGGUUGAAAGAGUUAAGUUAUCGUCUAAAGAUUUGAAAUCAAUAUAAAGAAGUAUCUGGGUUGUGGGGACCAAGGUUCUUAUUAUGCAGAUGAAGCCUCCAGGGAGCAGGCUUCAGAGAGAAUAGAUUGUAUUUCUUAAUCAAACUUUUAAAAGGUGCCAGACUCAUAAUUCUCUUCUGGAUCAGGGGAAAAACCUGAAAAGGAAAGAGAAUUAUCUACAGAAUGUAGAUUUCCCUCAUGAUAGACAGCUUUGUAGGGCCGUUUAAAAAUAUGUCGGAAAAUACAUUUUGGGGUAAAAUAUUGAUUUUUUUCAGGGCCUGCUAGGAGUCAUGUUGGUGUCUUAUUGCUACAAAGGGUCUGUUUUGUCACUCAUAAGGUUUCCAUUGUAAUGUUAAUGCUGGUUGGUUGUGCCUGAAUUCUAAAGUGAAGAGGGUAUAAUGAGGCAUGUCUGACCCCACUUCCCACUAAGAACUGAACUGGUUUUUCAUGUUAACUUUGGAAUGCUCUUGGCCAAGAGAAGGGGUCCACACAGUUGGUUGUGGGGCUUAGGAUUUUAUUUUUGGUUCACACAAAAGUAUACCAAUGUCCUCCCCUAGGUUUGAUAUGCCCUGCUUCCCUCUUUCCAUUUUUGUCCUUCUAGGACACCUUUUUGGUUGUUAUUAAACCCUUCAUUUCUUGUCAAUAUCCCACUAGACUAUAGGGCAUCAACACAAUAUGAACACUUGUCUUGGUUUAUUUGUGCUACUAUAGCAAAAUAACUGAGAUUGGAUAAUUUAUAAACAUGAACUUGUCACAGUUCUGUAGGCUCAGAAGCCCAGAACAAAGCACCUCAGGUUCAAUUUCUGGUGAGGGCCUUGGUCUCUGCUUCCAAGAUGGCACCUUGAGUGCUAUGUCAUCACAUGAGAAAAGUGCCUAAGCUGGUUCCCUACCCUUUUAUGAGUCACUAAUCCAUUCAUGAGAGCAGAACCCUCAUGACCUAAUCACUUCCCACCUCUUAAUACUGCCACAAUGGGGAUUACAUUUCAAAAUGAAUUUUAGAAGAAACACAUUCAAACCACAGCACAUUUCUAGACAAACUUUCAGACACAGAUGUAGAGAAAUUUUAAUGAAAUUGAAUUUUAACCAAGUGAAGACAACCCACAGAUUUGCAAAUACCCUUCUAAGAUUCUUCAAAGAUAUCUCAAUGGUUAAUCACGUUGUUUAGGAAAAUGAGAACAGUGACAGCAAGACCUUCUCAGUGGUACAAUGGCCUCAGCAGCAGUAAAAGAGGGUAGUAAACAUUAUGCAGACUUUGUGUGGGCUCUGGAUCACCCACAGAGAAGAAAGUUAUUUUGUAUGUAUGUGUGUAACUGUAUGUUUAAGAGAAAUGAACUGUUUAUUUACAGGGAUUAUUGAGGAGCAGAACCUCACUUGGGUAGAUGCAGGUGUAACUUUUAAGAUCAAUAUCCAUGGCUUUGAAUAGAUAGGCUAGAGAUACAGCAGAUUUACUUAGUUCCCCAAAGAUGCAUGUUGGGUGAUACCCACCUAUAUUAGUUUUCCAAUUACUGCAAAUUCAGUAGGUUAAAGUAACAAUUGUCUUAUCUCACAGUUCUGUAUGUCUGAAGUCCAGGAAAGUAUGGCUGGAUUUUUCUCAGGGUCUUAUAAGGUGGAAAUCAAGGGGUCAGCUGUCUGCAUUUUCAUCAGGAGAUUGGCUACUCCUCCUAGAUUAUUCCUAGUACUGGUAGAAUUUGGUUCCUUGUGACAGCAGGUCUAGGGUCUCCAUUUUUUAUUGGCUGUCAGCUCCUUGCAGUUUCUUUCUGGUCCCCUUGAUCUUCAAAUGCACAUCAAAUCUGUCUCAUGUUUAAAAUCCUGUGAUACCCACUUCUGCUUCAAGACAGAAAACUCUGCAUUUAAAGGGCUCUGGUGAUUAGGUUAGGCCAACCUGAAUAGUAUUUAUUUUGUCAAAUAAUGUAACAUAAUCGCUGGAGUGACAUAUCAUAUUUUUAGGUUCCACUCAUGCUGAAAGUGAAGGACAUUAUACAUGGGCAUGAGUCACUGGAGGUCAUUCUUGGAAUUCUGCCUACCAUACCAAUGGAGAUCAAAUGCCAGGAAAGUCAGGAAUAGAAAUUCAGAGAGCAUACAAUCAAAUAUAUUAAAUUAGAAUUCAAAACUAUUCAAGAGAUGGUUCAGAGUUUUGGCCAAGCAGUGGAUCAAAUUUUCUUACUACUGCUUAAUCAAGGAUACAGUACAGAAGUAAAAUGAAUUGAUCUUUAUUAAAAUGGAGCAAAGACCAGGUCUAGGAAGGAAAGGCAAGAAGGUGGAAUAGAUUUGCUCUUACUGGAAGAACACUGGAGAUUCAAGACAAGAAACAGAAUUGUUUUAGUCCCUGAGUUAACAAAUAAAAGAAAGAUGAGACCAGAACAGUUGUCAAUGAAGGAGCAGUGAAGUAGAAAGGAAGGAUGGAGUGAAUGUGGAGAGCACUUUUCUGAAGAGAAUAAACUUAGUUGUCAGAUGAAAGGAGAUUUAUAAUUAGCUUUGUCCUUACAAAUUUUGAGGUAACUUACCAUGGAAAUACUUUUUCUUAUCAGUUGAUUAAUCUGGGGGGAGGUAGCAUAAUCCUUUGAAAUUCCAGUGCGUAGAAAACUAGGCUCGACCUCAAGAUGAAGCCUCAAAAAAGAAAUGUCUGUUAGAAUCCAGUUAACAGGAGAACACCUACUGCGACUUUAUUAUCAGCAAGUUGGUGAAAACUUCCUGAAGAAGAAAUGUGGGAUGAUACAGAAACUGAUUAAAGUCUCAGAACAGCAAAUAGUUUCUCCUCUUGUGAAUUAAUUCACCUUCCACAAUUAAACAGAGAUAACUCAGGGUACCUCAAAUACUGAUGAGCUUGACAGAAAUGAAUUGCCACCUAAUUCCAUUGAUGGAGAAAGAUAAGACAAUGAGCAAAGAAAAGGGACUUUCAGAGAGAAGAAUUGUUGAGAAGGUAGCAGUCCUUUCUCUUUCCAUGAGGUAGUUGCUAUUCAUUACUCUGUGAUGGGGACUGGGAACACAAGAAUCACCACUUAGGGAUUAAUGAAUUCAAGAUCUGUACCUUCCAUUUUGAUCCAAAUUUGAACUUAAAUUUAUUCAGGACACCAACUGAAUACUUCUACCUAAAGGUAAAACUCAUAUCAUAUUUCCCUCCCAAGCUGCAUUUCCUCUGAGUUCCUGACUUGACGGAGUCAUUUAUUUGUACAAUAUAUGAACGCUGAGAGUUGUGCCACAUUUCUCUCUCUUUUGCCCUGGACAUCCAAUUUUUAUGCAACACUUUCAUUUCUAACUCCUAAAUAUCUUAGUUUACUAUCUCAAUCACUGCAACCACUGACAUGUUUAUGCCCUUUUUACUAGCUUGCCAAAUAAAUAUAAAAGAGCUCAUUAAUCUCUCUAGUUCCUUAUUAAUCCUCAUUUCAUCUAAUCUAGUAUUAGUAUUAUACCCAAGUAUAAUCUUCCAAAUUGCAAAAAUCUGUUUCUAUCACUCUUUCUGCAGCAUCCUUCACUGGCUCCCCCAUGGUCUACAAUAUAUACAAUCUAAGUUUUAAAAAGAAAAAAACUUAUGACUAUCCCUUAUUUUGAAAAAAGGAAAAUUAGUCCUUUACUAGAAAAAUAGCACUGUAUUAUAAUGUCAAGUUCACACUAGAGUCUACGAUGGUGUCAAAGAGCUCUAUAUUUUUCUUCUUGAGUCACUUUGAUAUCCUCCCACAGUAAGACCAUUACAGUUGGUGUAUUGGUCUGUUCUCACACUGCUAUGAAGAAAUACCUGAGGCUGUGUAAUUUAUAAAGCAAAGAGGGUUAAUUGGUUCACAGUUCCACAUUGCUGGGGAGGCCUCAGAAAACUUACAAUCAUGGUGGAAGGCAAAAGAGAGGCAGGCACCUUCUUCACAGGGUGGCAGGAUGGAGUGAGUGCCAGCAGGGGAAAUGCCAGAUGCUUGUAAAACCAUCAGAUCUCGUGAGACUCACUCAUUAUCAUGAGAACAGCAUGGGGGAAACUGCUCCCAUGAUUUAAUUACCUACACCUGGUGCCACCCUUGACACGUGUGGAUUAUAGAGAUUAUAAUUCAAGGUAAGAUUUAGAUGGGGACACAGAGCCAAACCAUAUCAGUUGGGUACUGAGAAGGACAUACUGUAUUAAUCAUGCCUUCUUAUUGUCUGUAUUUUCUAAUGUUUUGACAUCCAUAUUUUCUGAUGUUUUGACAUCUGGGGACUUGCUGAUCUUGGAGGGACUGACCCUCUCAGGGUUAACUCAUUCCUAGGGGUAGCAAACUGCUUUCCCUAGAGCAUGCCUUUCAUAUCAAAUCAACCAAUCCAAACCUCUACUCCAACCCACCUUCUUUAUUGGGCUCUCAUACUCUGAGCCCCUAUUCUCCUACCCUAAUUACCACAGGGCCAGGUACUAAACAACUUGAGAUAAUCCCUACACUUUGUAGCCUGCUCAAAAAUUUAAACCAGCCAAUGCUAAACCUAUUUAGCCUGUGUACCCUGCCUCACUCAUUUGUUCAGUGAAAACCACAAUAAAGUUUCUUGCCAAUGUUUCCUGUCACUCCUUCUAUCUUCUGACCCACUGUUGUGAUUCUUAUUGCUAUGAUUUUUUUCUAACUUGGUCAUGAGGUCUCUCUUUUUAGACUAGCCAUAAACCAAUAUAGCCACUCUCUAGGAGACCUCUGACUCAGGGGAGGGGGAGUUAGAUUCAGGUGUGAGUGUCAGGUGAGACACAGUGGAGGAAGUGAAAACAAAAUGCAUGAAAGGAAGAAAUUUAUUACUCACAGAACCCAAAGAGGUUAGAGAGGCCCAAGAGAAGUGUGAAGAUGGCACGGAGCUCAUCCAGUUGAGGAGGGAAGAGAGGGCACAGGCAAGGGCAAGAGGGGGUGGGUGAGGGCCGGUGGAACUAUUCCUUAGGCUUUCCUAUGGGGGUUAUGGGUCAGCUACUUUAAAUGUUUCAGAAGGAGGAAACUUACUUGCAGGACUCUAGCAUUGGCCAUUAGGCUUUAUCAUGGUCAGCAGCUCUGGAGUGUGUUGGGUUUUGGGUCAGGGGAAUGAGAAACAGACCAUAUAGCUGACAACCACACAGGGAGAAGUUUUAACUGGGUCAAAGAUGACAGAGUAUGACUGGGUUUCAAAUAAUUUGUUUCAGGCCUUAAAAAAAAAUUGGGGCCAGGCACAGUGGCUCACAUCUGUAAUCCCAGCACUUUAGGAGGCUGAGGCAGGUGGAUCACUUUGAGGUCAGGAGUUCUAGACCAGGCUGAUCAACAUGAAGAAAUCUCUACUAAAAAUACAAAAAUUGGCCAGGCAUGGUGGUGCACACCUGUAAUCCCAGCUACUUGGAAGGCUGAGACAGGAGAAUUGCUUGAAUCUGGGAGACAGAGGUUGCAGUGACCCAAGAUCAUGCCACUACACUCCAGCCUGGGCGACAAAGCGAGACUCCAUCUCAAGAAAAACAAACAAACAAAAAAACUGGGCCUGUGUGGCCCUGCAUAGUGUGUCAUGCCCCUUCUUCUUGGGAACUGUAAGUAACAAACUGUAUUUUCAGUGGCAGCUGUCUCCUGAUCCAUUAGCUCUACCAUACCUGAAUAAUAAUAGCACUCAUAUUCUAAAACACUUGCUUCUUAUGAGUAGGAAGAAUGGGUCAGUGCUUCAGAAUCCCAGACAUGUCCAAAGGAAGAGGUGAAGAAAACCAAAUGACCAGAUCAUACCCAGCCUGAUUGAAACACACACAAUAUAAUCACCCCUUUGUCUCUAUGUGUUCACCAACUCUGCAAGUACACCUGUGUAUAGUAUGCUGACAAGCUCUGUCUUCUUCAAUCUGCUAAAUCGUUUUCUACUUUCCUACAUUGCUGUGGGCCAGGAGAGCCCUGGAUGUAAUGGAAAGUGGGGAGGGGUUAAAUCCGUCUAGGAAGGAGAUGGAUGGGUAAAAAAAAAUUGUGUAACAUAUACAAAGGUUUCUAUGAUUACAAGCCUACUAUGAAAUCCAGUCACACCUACCACUCACAGUCCCACUUACUUUGCUCUAAGCAACACUGAUCUCCAAACAUGCUGUGCAUAGUAUUUCCCUUACACGGCACACCUGCAAAUUUAUUCUGCACUUUCAAAUAUAACUUAAAACAAUAGCACUACAUGAAAUGUGCCAUUUUCCCAAGAAGAUUGUAGACUCUUUCCCCUGUACUCGCCAUACCUUACACAAUUCUCCCUUUCUGCAAAUACCAAAUUAUGUUUCUUGGUAUAGUGAUCUUCCCAUGGGCCUACAAAAUCCAUGUGGUCAAAUGACAUGCCUUUCCGUUAUUCCUUCCCUAGAAUCUUCUCCUAUGCCUGACAUCCAUGUUUAAUGAAUGAUCAGACACAAUAUAGGAAGAGGGAUGCUGACUUUUAUGUUUAUGCCUCUAUUCUCAGGAUCUGAAACAGCACCUGAUAUUUAACAGGUGUUCACUAUGUGUCUGUUAAAGAAAAAAAAAAAACAUUAAUGUCUACAAUGAUUUGAUCCUGGGUUUGCCUCUUCUCUCCUUCUUCCUCCAAAGUAUAUUCCUUAAAUUUAACAACCCUUGCCUUCCUUUUCUGUCUAAGGGCUACUGGUAGGUAGGAUAAUGACUCCAAAAGCUGUCUAUGUCCUAAACCUCAGAACCUGUAAAUAUGUUACCAUACAUAAUAGAAGAUAAUUAAGUUUGUAGAUAGUUUAGUGUGCUAAUUAGCUAACCUUGAGGCAGGAAGAUUAUCCUGACUUAUGCAGGUGGGCUCAGUGUAAACACAUAGGUACUCAGAAGUGACUAUGGUGAGAGUGAUGUGAGAACUUUACCUGCUGUUGCCACCUGAAGAUAAUGAAAGGGGCCAUGAGUCAAGGAAUAUGGGAGGCCUCUAGAAGCUAGAAGAGAAAAAAAAAAAACAAAACAAAAACAUAUUCUCUCCUAGAGCCUCCAAAGAGCAAAGUGCCAAUGAGACCCAUCCUGGACUUCUAACCAAAAGAAUUGUAAGAUAAUAAGUUUGUGUUGUUUUUAAGCCACUAAGUUUGCAGUAAUACGGUACAGCAGUAAGAGAAAACUAUUAUAAGGCUCUAUUUCGAAGCAGCUGAAAAAAGGCAGCUGAUGAAGGAAGUCGCGCUGGGAAGUAGCCUAAGAGGCAAAAGUACAAAGACAGGAGUUUGAAUCAGAUGAUGCCACUUUUAAGGGUGGAUUUGUCAGAGACAUAUGAACCAGAGCAACUCCAUCUUAAGUAGGAGCUGGGUAAAAUAAGGUUGAAACCUACUGGGCUGCAUUCCCAGAUAGUUAAGGCAUUCUAAGUCACAGGAUGAGAUAGGAGGUCAGCACAAGAUACAGGUCGUAAAGACCCUGCUGAUGAAACAGGUUGCAGGAAAGAAGCCAGCCAAAACCCACUGAAACCAAAAUAGUCACAACAGUGACCUCUGGUCAUCCUCCCUGCUACAUUCCCACCAGUGCUGUGACAGUUUACCAAUGCCGUGACAUCAGGAAGUUACCCUAUAUGGUCUAAAAGGGGGAAGCAUGAAUAAUCCAUCCUUUGUUUAGCAUAUAAACAGGAUAUAACCGUAAAAAUAGGCAACAAGCAGCCCUCACGGCUACUCUAUCUAUAGAGAAGCCAUUCUUUUAUUCCUUUAUUUUCCAAAUAAACUUGCUUUCACUUUAUGCUAUGGACUCCCCUUGAAUUCUUUCUUGCUUGAGAUUCAAGAAUCCUCUUUUGGGGUCUGGAUAAGAAGCCUUUCCUGUAACAGCUUUCUGGUGAUUAUGAAGAGACCGUAGUGAGGAAACCCCGGAACCAAAGGAUAACUUUGGGUAAGUGUUGGGGUCGUGUAACAUCUUCCUGGCAAACCCUGAAGGGAUGAUACUAAGGAGACCUCCCCCCAACCCAAGGAAAUAGACUGCAGCACUGAUUGGACAACUUUGGAUAAGUGGUGGAGUACCUACUCAGGUAAAGAAUGGGAUUGGGAUAGAGGCCCAACUUAGGGGAGUUAGAGUCUCUCCUAAGACAGAGUGGGUUAAAGGCCCCUCUUAAUAAAAGGCAAGGACACUUGAAUGACCUUGGGUUAGAGGCCCAAUUUAGGAGGAUUAGAGUCCCUUUCUAAGAUUUAGGGGGUUAGUGGCCCCUCUUAGAAAGGUCACUCUGGGUAAAGUCCCUUUGAGCUAAGAACGGUAUGUUAACUGCUAUUCUCUUUGGAUUAAUCUGCCUUGAACUCCUUGCUGACAGCUGUGGGUAACAGGAUUAGGCAGGUACAGGACCAUUGGACAUGGGGAACUAUUUCUCCCUAAAACGGAAAACUUGAGAGCUGAUGGGACUGCUGGAAAAGAUCCUUCACAACUAUCAAGCGGCCACCUGAACUGUUCAGUGUCACUGCAAUGGGCACAAUUGGAGAAACUGAUUAUUUUACGAAGACUUUGAUGGAAUGGUAUACUCUCCUUUAAGGAAUCAAACUUGACUUGCCAAGUCAAUAAAAGCCCCUUGGAGAAAUGGCCUCAGACCUUUGCUACAACAGUCCCUGUACGUGAUUUCUGACCUGUGGUAAGUAAAUAAUGUCACCUUCUAACAGGUCCAGGAGCCCCAAGUUAUCUUGGGACCCCAAGAGGAGAGGAAUUUACUAAACUCAUAGGUAUUUGAGGGUACAAACCCAUGGUAGGGCUCAGCUCAAAAAGAGUCUUAUCUAAGAUUCCUUCUAAGAAACAAAGUUUCAUCAAAGCCAGUGUUAAAAGUCUAUGUGAAAAAUAAUUAUUCUUGCUGUACUUUAUACAAAUAAUCAGGCCAAGUAUAAUAAAGCAAAUUAGUCUCACUAUGACUUAUCUUUAGUGAAAAUGGAAAACAGGAGAGAGAAUAUUAUGUUUCAAGACCUAUGUUACACUUGUUAUUAAAUUCUAGUCUCAUCAGUUGUUAAGUUUGUUUCUGCAGUUUAGGCUAACCCUGCUUCUUCCUGUGAACCAACCGGUGAUCUUUGUUUGCUACUCUGAAAAAACAAGACAUUUUGGUAAUGUAAAAAUCUGGAUCAGUAUUCUAAUUCUGGGCAUGUAUUGGAAUUGGCUAACCACCUCAUGUCAGCUUGGUUCCAGUAGUUGCCCAGUUCAUGAAGAGCCUUAUAAUUUAGUUUAUUUGGGAUAAUUUUGCUUAUUUUGUUAUAUUGCUGUUUUACUCUUUGUGUAGGAAUGCAGACUAAGCUUGCUAAAUGUUUUCUUAAACUAAAUACUUAUUAGUCUUUCAGAUAUCACCUUUCAUCAGGACUCAAGAGUUCUGAAUGGCCUUCAUCAUACUGAGGCUUUCUGACUGAGCUCCUCUCUACCCUGAACACAGAGACCCUAAUAGUUAGGCAGGAAUAUCAUUUCCCCUAUUCAGCCUGAAGAAGUUACAGAAGAUGAAUCUUUGUCCCCCUACAACCUUAGGAUUAAGGGUUCUCUUAUAAAAGGGAGGGAGGAAAUGUCUAAGACAUGUGAACUAGAGCAACUUCAUCCUGAAGAGGAGCUGAGUAAAAUAAGGCUGAAACCUACUGGGCUGCAUUCUUAGACAGUUAAGGCAUUCUAAGUCACAGGAUGAGAUAGGAGGUUAGCACAAGAUACAGGUCCUUAAAACCUUGCUGAUAAAACAGUUUGCAGUAAAGAAACCAGCCAAAACCCACCAAAACCAAUAUGGCCACGAGAGUGACCUCUGGUCAUCCUCACUGCUACACUCCCACCAGCGCCAUAAUAGUUCACAAAUACCAUAGCAACAUCAGGAUGUAACCCUGCAUAAAUAAUGCACCCCUUGUUUAGCAUAUGAUCAAGAAAUAACCAUAAUAAUAGGCAACCAGCAGCCCUCAGGGAUGCUCUGUCUUUGGAGUAGCCAUUCUCUUAUUCCUCUACUUUCUUAAUAAACUUGCUUUCACUUUACUCAGACUCCUCAUAAAUUCUUUCUUGCACAAGAUCCAAGAACCCUCUCUUGGAGUCUGAUUGGGACCUUUUUCUUGUGACAGAUUCUGCCAGUUUCUGUUCUUGGCAGGUUCCAUUUCUACAAAUUCCUCAUCUCUAUAGGUUUAGGAUCAGAAUGUUCCAGCAGGGGAGCAUUACAGCUGUUUCAAUCCUCAGGGAGACUACUCAUCUUGGGAAUAAUUCCUUCCUGGAGUGAUUGGAAAAUAAUUCCUAAAAGAAAUUGAAAAGUCAAAUUGUUGAACGGUAAAUUCACCAUCACGUUUACCAUAAAGCAUGUAGAGAAAUGGAAAUAGUUACACAUCAUGGUUGAGAGUGCAGGAUUUGCAGUCAGACAGUUUCUGGCACUUAGUAGCUUUAGAAAGUGACUUAAGCCCUCUAAGCCCUCAGUUUUCACAUCUAUAAAAUGAAGUAAAUAAUAUAAGCCUCUCAGAAGUGGAGUGAGCGUUGAAUGAAAUAGUAUGUGAGUAGUUUAACGCAGAGACUGGCACUGACAUAAGAAACUAUUGUGAUAGAAGCAGAGCAGAGAAAAUAUUUUGAAUAGCUGUAUGCAUGGCAAUUUUUUAACCUCUUUAUUCGUGGCAACUCAUUUAAUUGCCACAACAAACUAAGUACUUUUAUUAUUUCCAUUGUUAUGGACUGAGCUAUGCUACCCUCUUCAUUUCAUAUGUUGAUGUCCUAAGUCCCAGUGCCCCAUAAUGUGACUAUAUUUGGAGACACGGUCUUUACAUGGAUAAUUAAGUUAAAAUUAGGUCAUUAGGGUGGGCCCUAAUUCAAUAUGGCUGGUGUCCUUAUCAGGUUAGGACACAGACAUGCAUAGAGGGAAAACCAGAAAAAAGGUAUAGGAGAAAAAAUGGUUAUCUACAAGCCAAAGAGAGAGGCCUCAGAGGAAGCCAACUCAACAAAUUUUAAAAUAUGUAUUUUGGAGAACAAAAUUAUUAGAAAAUAUUUACAACAGAAAAAAAAAAUUUCUUCUAGAACUGAGCUGGUCUAAAGGUGCAUAUCUUGGUAAGGCUCUGUGAAGAAAUGACCUAAUCUGGAGAGAAGCUGUUGGGACACUCGUCUGUGUGUGGCCUGUGGCUCACAGGGGUGGGUAUUCUCAGAAAGCACAUGGGAAAAUCACCGUCCUGGUGUGUCCAGGCUCUGGGAACAGGCUCUUCCUCGUGGCUUUCACAUGGGUUUCCUGGUGGGCUAUGUAGUCACUUUCUGCAUCCUUCUUUUAAGGGCUCAUGAACGUCACAGACCCUGAGAUACCGGUCUCACUGUCCUCAACUAUCAAAUGAGGAGGUUGCACCAAAGAACCCCUAAAGCCCCUCCCACCUCUAAUCGCCUAUGGGACUGUCCAUUCUUCUUAAGGAUCAUUAUAGACACACAGCAGGGAACAUAAAGUAGACAAAUUCUGAGAAACAGCUAAGAAAAGUACUACAGACCCACCAGAAUGGGAGUAUAAAUUGGGCUUCAUCUGCCCCAUUGCAACCUAGACUUCCUUUGCCUUAUGAUUUGGCUCAAUGGCAUCUGUGACAAGGUAGCUUGAAGUUGACACCAGUGCAUCCCUGGAGAUUGGAUGGGCUGGGCUCAGAAUCCCAUACAUCCUUUACAGCCUUUUUUUUCCUCACCCUAUCCAUACCCUCACCCUACUAGAAUUAUGCAUGCACUUGUUGAAAACAGCCCUAGCAAAGUAAAUCUAGGCUCCUUAGGCCAUGAUUAAGGGCCCUUGAAGAAGUCAAAUUACCUAAGAAACUCUAGACAUGCACUCUCCAAUAUGCAAGCCACUAGUUCGUGUCUACUGAGCUCCUGAAUUGUGGCUAGUGCUAAUGGAGAUGUGCUGUAAGCAUGAAAUGCACACCAGAUGUACAAGACUUAGUAUGAAAAAAUAUAUUAAAAUCUCAUUAAUAGUAAGAUUAUUUUUAUAUUGAAAUGAUAAUUGUUAAUAUUGGGUUAAAUAAAAUAUAGCAUUAAAAUUCAUUUCUCCUGUUUUUACCUUUUUAAUGAGUCUACUAGAAAUUUUAAAUUUAUGAAUAUGGCAUAGUUUAUCUCCAUUGGACAGCACUGCUAUUUAGAGUAUCAAAAUUUGGUAUCUUUUGUGACAAUAAUAAAUCAUUUAUCAAGGAGAAAUACCCUAGAAUUGGACACUCAUCACCCAUUAUGUAACUUCAGCUAGCCUCUUGGUUUGUCCUCCUCUCUCUCAUAGAAUUAAUAAAGCAAUCUAUCAGGACA